GGAUCUACCUCCUCAUCGUCUUCCUCUCCCCUAUGGUCGACCCCGAGCUCGACCCCUCCGCUGCCGACGACGGGCACGCCCUCCCCAACCGUGGAUCCGGUGAGUUCAAGCACUUCAUCAGGAGGCUUCUGGAGUUCAAGUUCUGUCAAAGGGGAGAAAGCUAAGAACACUGGCCUUUAAGUUCUUGCAAGGAUCAGAGGGUAUGCUGAUGCUGCUCAGGGGUGAUCAACGUGGACUACUGCGGCCUGGUGGGCGUCGUGCUAUUCAACCACUCGGAGGCAAACUUCAUCGUGAAGCCCGGCAACCGCGCCACACAGAUGAUCGUCCAAGUCAUUGCAAUGCCGGAGGUCGCUGACGUAGAGGACCUCGAUGCCACCGUUCGGCGGGAGGGGUGCUUGGAUCCACUGACGUUUGAACUCCGAGCCUUGGUAGAUACUUCUAGAGAAGUGGUCUAGUUGUUUGCAUCUGAUGUUAAAUGGGAUCUCGAGAUCUCGAGUUGAGAUGUUCAAUGUUGUAUCCAUGAAUGCUGCAAGUGCUAAGAUGGUUCUGUGAACUUAGUUUAUUUGCACUGGA